rnacentral:rRNA from 1 species
UACGUAGGGUGCGAGCGUUGCCCGGAAUUAUUGGGCGUAAAGAGCUCGUAGGCGGUUUGUCGCGUCUGCCGUGAAAGUCCGGGGCUCAACUCCGGAUCUGCGGUGGGUACGGGCAGACUAGAGUGAUGUAGGGGAGACUGGAAUUCCUGGUGUAGCGGUGAAAUGCGCAGAUAUCAGGAGGAACACCGAUGGCGAAGGCAGGUCUCUGGAACGUUACUGACGCUGAGACGCGAAAGCGUGGGGAGCAAACAGG